rnacentral:pre_miRNA from 1 species
CUUGUAUUCCCUCCGUUCGGAAAUACUUGUUCUAAAAAUGGAUAAAAUGGAUGUAUCUAUAACUAAAAUAAGUUUAGAUACAAUCAUUUCUAAGACAAAUAUUUCCGGACGGAGGGAGUAGAAG